rnacentral:rRNA from 1 species
GACGAACGCUGGCGGCGUGCUUAACACAUGCAAGUCGAACGGAAAGGCCCUGCUUUUGUGGGGUGCUCGAGUGGCGAACGGGUGAGUAACACGUGAGUAACCUGCCCUUGACUUGGGAUAACUUCAGGAAACUGGGGCUAAUACCGGAUAGGAGCUCCUGCUGCAUGGUGGGGGUUGGAAAGUUUCGGCGGUUGGGGAUGGACUCGCGGCUUAUCAGCUUGUUGGUGGGGUAGUGGCUUACCAAGGCUUUGACGGGUAGCCGGCCUGAGAGGGUGACCGGCCACAUUGGGACUGAGAUACGGCCCAGACUCCUACGGGAGGCAACAGUGGGGAAUAUUGCACAAUGGGCGGAAGCCUGAUGCAGCAACGCCGCGUGCGGGAUGACGGCCUUCGGGUUGUAAACCGCUUUCGCCUGUGACGAAGCGUGAGUGACGGUAAUGGGUAAAGAAGCACCGGCUAACUACGU